rnacentral:rRNA from 2 species
CAAAGUCGAGCGGAACGGGAUGGGAGCUUUGCUCCCUGAAGUCAGCGGCGGACGGAGGUGAGGUAACACCGUGGGCAACCUGCCUGUAAGACUGGGGAUAACUCCGGGAAACCGGGGCUAAUACCGGAUAACUCUUUUCCUCACAUGAGGAAAAGCUGAAAGAUGGUUUCGGCUAUCACUUACAGAUGGGCCCGCGGCGCAUUAGCUAGUUGGUGAGGUAACGGCUCACCAAGGCCACGAUGCGUAGCCGACCUGAGAGGGUGAUCGGCCACACUGGGACUGAGACACGGCCCAGACUCCUACGGGAGGCAGCAGUAGGGAAUCUUCCGCAAUGGACGAAAGUCUGACGGAGCAACGCCGCGUGAGUGAUGAAGGUUUUCGGAUCGUAAAACUCUGUUGUCAGGGAAGAACAAGUACCGGAGUAACUGCCG